AUUGAACGCUGGCGGCAGGCUUAACACAUGCAAGUCGAGCGGAGAUGAGGUGCUUGCACCUUAUCUUAGCGGCGGACGGGUGAGUAAUGCUUAGGAAUCUGCCAUUUAGUGGGGGACAACAUUCCGAAAGGAAUGCUAAUACCGCAUACGUCCUACGGGAGAAAGCAGGGGAUCUUCGGACCUUGCGCUAAAUGAUGAGCCUAAGUCGGAUUAGCUAGUUGGGGGGGUAAAGGCCUACCAAGGCGACGAUCUGUAGCGGGUCUGAGAGGAUGAUCCGCCACACUGGGACUGAGACACGGCCCAGACUCCUACGGGAGGCAGCAGUGGGGAAUAUUGGACAAUGGGCGGAAGCCUGAUCCAGCCACGCCGCGUGUGUGAAGAAGGCCUUUUGGUUGUAAAGCACUUUAAGCGAGGAGGAGGCUACUAGUACUAAUACUACUGGAUAGUGGACGUUACUCGCAGAAUAAGCACCGGCUAACUCUGUGCCAGCAGCCGCGGUAAAAC
rnacentral:rRNA from 1 species